rnacentral:rRNA from 1 species
UACGUAGGCAGCGAGCGUUGUUCGGAAUUACUGGGCGUAAAGAGUGUGUAGGCGGUGCUCUAAGUUCGGUGUGAAAUCUCCUGGCUCAACUGGGAGGGUGCGCCGGAAACUGGAGUGCUUGAGCGUGGGAGAGGAAAGCGGAAUUCCUGGUGUAGCGGUGAAAUGCGCAGAUAUCAGGAGGAACACCAAUUGCGAAGGCAGCUCGCUGGGACGUUACUGACGCUGGAGACGCGAAAGCGUGGGGAGCAAACAGG